GGCCCCCCCCAUGCGAGGCCCCUUCGACGAGUCGAGUUGUUUGGGAAUGCAGCUCUAAAUGGGUGGUAAAUUUCAUCUAAAGCUAAAUACUGGCCGGAGACCGAUAGCGCACAAGUAGAGUGAUCGAAAGAUGAAAAGCACUUUGGAAAGAGAGUCAAACAGUACGUGAAAUUGUUGAAAGGGAAGCGCUUGCGACCAGACUUGCUCGCGGGUGAUCAUCCGUCCCUCGGGGGCGGUGCACUCGCCCGCGAUCAGGCCAGCAUCGGUUUU
rnacentral:rRNA from 1 species